rnacentral:misc_RNA from 1 species
AACGCACAUUGCGCCCCUUGGUAUUCCGAGGGGCAUGCCUGUUCGAGCGUCAUUACAACCCUCAAGCACUGCUUGGUGUUGGGCCUCGCCGGUUUUGGCGGGCCUUAAAAUCAGUGGCGGUGCCGUCUGGGUUCUGAGCGUAGUAAAUAUCCUCGCUACGGAGACCAGGCGGUUCUUGUCAUCAACCCCCAACUUCUUAAGUUUGACCUCGGAUCAGGUAGGGAUACCCGCUGAACUUAA